rnacentral:lncRNA from 15 species
GUGUGGAGUUACAGAUGAAAACAACCUUCUGCCUCGAGUGAAUAAAACCACAAAAGUUUUCAGUAAUUCUGAUGUAAGGUAGUGACCAUAGGUCAGUUCAUGAAGUGAUUCAAGGUCUAAUAAAGCAGCUAACUGAAUGUGCUCCCCUGUUUGAAUUAGUUUGCUUAGGGAUAAAAGUGACAACACCACAAGCUACAAUUUAUUUAUUUUUUUUGGUAUCUUUAAUAUAGAUAUAUGUAUAUAUACAAUAAAGUGAGGAUUCAAUUCAGUUAAAAAUGUCAGACCUAAGGAAGUAAAGGUUUUUAAUUGCUUUGAGAUUUUACAUUUUAAGCCAGAAAAAGGUAGUACAUACAUUUUUGACAAAAUAAAGACAUAUUUUGUUGCUUUAAUGGAGUUGUUUUAUUUUAAAAUAUAUAUUUUAAGCAGCUUAAAGUUCAGACUGAGUUUAUCAUCGUAUAGUGAUAAUGAUACUACUAAUAAUGAGUAUUAAACUGUAACAUUUACAUAUAAAGAAAAAAUAAUAGUCAUGUAGAAAAAUUCCAGUAGCUGAAACACAUUUCUUUUCAAUCUUUCAGUCUUUCUUCAGCCAAACAGCAGAUGUAAAACUUUAUUAUUAUUAUUAUUUGAAGUUGUUGUGUCUGUGUGAAGGUGUGGGCUCUGCUAUGAAUCAGUGUGAGGACAGAGAGGAGGGAGUCCCUCCCUCUAAAAGCACUCUGUGUGGGGAACAUGACACAAGGACCAAAGCUCAGAGCCCAGAGCAGCAGAACACACCAGACUCUGCUGGACCUGAACCUGGACCUGAACCCAGCUGUGUGUCCAUUAAGAGUGACUGGUCUAUGGACACACCUAUGAAGUUCAAUGAUGGACUCUACUCUGCUAAUCAAUGGAUCCAGUGUCUUGUACCCACCUGUGUGUCCAUAAAGAGUGACAGAUCGAUGGAUCAACCAUUUUUCUUCAAAGAUAAGGAA